rnacentral:rRNA from 1 species
GACGAACCUUGCAAACGUUAUUCGGAAUCACUGGGCUUAAAGGGUGCGUAGGCUGUGCAGAAAGUUGGGUGUGAAAUACCUCGGCUUAACCGAGGAAUUGCGCCCAAAACUACUGUGCUCGAGGAAGAUAGAGGUGAGCGGAACUUAGGGUGGAGCGGUGAAAUGCGUUGAUAUCCUAAGGAACACCGGUGGCGAAAGCGGCUCACUGGAUCUUGUCUGACGCUGAGGCACGAAAGCCAGGGUAGCAAACGGG